rnacentral:rRNA from 1 species
UACGGAGGGUGCAAGCGUUAUCCGGAUUCACUGGGUUUAAAGGGUGCGUAGGAGGGCAGGUAAGUCAGUGGUGAAAUCUUCGAGCUUAACUCGGAAACUGCCGUUGAUACUAUCUGUCUUGAAUACCGUGGAGGUGAGCGGAAUAUGUCAUGUAGCGGUGAAAUGCUUAGAUAUGACAUAGAACACCAAUUGCGAAGGCAGCUUACUACACAAUGAUUGACGCUGAGGCACGAAAGCGUGGGGAUCAAACAGG